AUUGAACGCUGGCGGCAGGCUUAACACAUGCAAGUCGAGCGGGGAAGGGUAGCUUGCUACCUGACCUAGCGGCGGACGGGUGAGUAAUGCUUAGGAAUCUGCCUAUUAGUGGGGGACAACAUUCCGAAAGGAAUGCUAAUACCGCAUACGCCCUACGGGGGAAAGCAGGGGAUCGUCGGACCUUGCGCUAAUAGAUGAGCCUAAGUCAGCUUAGCUAGUUGGUGGGGUAAAGGCCUACCAAGGCGACGAUCUGUAGCGGGUCUGAGAGGAUGAUCCGCCACACUGGGACUGAGACACGGCCCAGACUCCUACGGGAGGCAGCAGUGGGGAGUAUUGGACAAUGGGCGAAAGCCUGAUCCAGCCAUGCCGCGUGUGUGAAGAAGGCCUUUUGGUUGUAAAGCACUUUAAGCGAGGAGGAGGCUACUUGGAUUAAUACUCUAGGAUAGUGGACGUUACUCGCAGAAUAAGCACCGGCUAACUCUGUGCCAGCCGCCGCGGUAAGAC
rnacentral:rRNA from 1 species